GAUGAACGCUGGCGGCGUGCCUAACACAUGCAAGUCGAGCGAUUCUCUUCGGAGAAGAGCGGCGGACGGGUGAGUAACGCGUGGGUAACCUGCCCUGUACACACGGAUAACAUACCGAAAGGUAUGCUAAUACGAGAUAAUAUGCUUUUAUCGCAUGGUAGAAGUAUCAAAGCUUUUGCGGUACAGGAUGGACCCGCGUCUGAUUAGCUAGUUGGUAAGGUAACGGCUUACCAAGGCGACGAUCAGUAGCCGACCUGAGAGGGUGAUCGGCCAAAUUGGAACUGAGACACGGUCCAAACUCCUACGGGAGGCUGCAGUCGAGGAUCUUCGUCAAUGGGCGAAAGCCUGAACGAGCGAUGCCGCGUGAGCGAUGAAGGCCUUCGGGUUGUAAAGCUCAAAAGGGGUGAGAAAGGGAAACUUGAUCGAACCCCAGUAAGCUCGGGCUAAGUUCGUGCCAGCAGCCGCGGUAACAC
rnacentral:rRNA from 1 species